rnacentral:telomerase_RNA from 12 species
UCACAUUGCUGCGGGGUGGAGGCGUUUUUAACUAACCCUAAUGCAGAGUAAGUGGCUGGGCCUUCCUCACACUGCCUCCCGCUGCGUGAAACCUCGCUGUUUUCUUGGCUAACUUUCAGCGAGGUGAGGCAAGGCGGCAAAAAAAAGUUGGGAGCAGCAACGGCAAGCAAAAAAAAAGUUCCAGCCGAGGCCUCCUCACCACGCGGCCUGGGUCUGAGGGUAACAUGGCCCUGCGGGAGAGAGCCAACACGGGGGGGCCCCGGUCCGGCUAACAGGGCAGGAGGUCGGCCCCAAUUGCCUCAGGCCCAGCCACUCCGGGCCGCGAUCAGCCCGGGCUUUCCCUACUUUGGGGCCCAAUGCUGUCGCGAAGAGUUCGGCUCUGUCAGCCCGGCUGGGUCCGGGUGGGGGCCGGCACAGAGGGACACACCGGGCCGGGGCGCCGAGGAUAGCUACCGCCCGCAGGGAUAGUAAAUAUCCGUGACCAGUGGCCUCGGUGGCUGCGUCUCCCGGAGCAAUGGGACCCGCAAGGCUGCCCUGGUCAUACACGC